GUCAGCUAAAAUGCAGGCUGCUGUCUGUAAGAUGUCUUCACUGGUGAUCGGAGAGCAGAAACCCUCCCUGUGGCCCUUACAGGAGAGAACUGAGGUGAGACACAGGAGUGGGGAGGCAAACAUGUCUGGGGGCUUCUACAUAAAUGAGCUUUACUCUUCCUUCUCAAAGUCUUGCUAAUUAAUACUUCAGGUGAGAUAAUUAGACUUCCACAGACUUUGCAAUUUUAAAUACUCGGCUUUUAACUGGGACCCCGCUUCUCCCCAUCACCUGCAGAGAGAGACAGAGAGACAGAAAAUGGUGUUUCUUUCCUGUAGUUCUUGCCUCUGGUUUCCCAGAGCUCUUAAAAUCUCCUAAUCUCUUGAUACUAACUUGGAAACACUUUUGCUAACAGAAAUCUCUUUUUCUAUGUCUUUCACAGAGGUCUGCUUGCAUGGCAUUAAGAGCGAAAAUGCUGGGUGACUGGCAGAUUCUGUUAUGCUGUGGUGGAAAUUUUUUCCAUUAGCUUGUUUUUAUUUUUAGAGAACAUCAUUGAAACCUGUGAGUAAAACAGCCUUAAUUCCUUCAUGCAAAACAAUGUCUUGCCAAGGAAAAUGACAGAAUCUAUAAAAGCCUCUUUUACUUUUCUGCACAGAAAAGCCAUUGUCAUUGAGUCAAGAAAAGAUUUUGAUAUCUCUGAAGGGAAAAAGGAGUAAAACCUUUAGAUACUCCAGCAUCUCAAGCCACGUUUGUCUUCCACCCAGUGACAUGAGGUUCCUGAAAGUUUUCCAGGUGAUGGCAGAGAUGAUUCCCCAGGCUUACCUGGUCCCUAGUGUUCAUGACCAGCGUGAGAUAAGCUCCCUAUUCCUGGGUUCAUAUGGAUACACGGUAAAGGAUUCUGCUAGGUCAUAUGCCCACAACUGGUCUGGUCCCAGUCAAGGGGAAUUCUCAUUGGCAGGAAGAGGAAGACCUUGAGCUUGAUGAUCCCACCGGGCUAGGAAAGGGUAGUUUCCAAAAGGAAAAGAUGAGUUCUCUUCCCUCACAGUGAAAAGGGAAGCUGAGUAGGCAAAAAAUAACAAAUGCCCCCUACACCAAUGCAGAUGCCUGUAGGAUCUGAAGGGAAUGAUAAGAAAAAAACUCAUUACCCCUGUCGCCCCAUGUGGCCUUCCUUGGACACAGAAAUUCCAUUGUUACUGACUUCCUUAGGAUAAGGCAUUGAGAGCUCUUUUUAAAAUGACAACUAUGUUAUAUGGGAAGGCAAGCACAUUAAACCAUUGUCACCCAUUAACAGUUUAUUAGGAAAGAGCUUUUCAGAUUAUCCGUUUUAUCUCUUAGCUUUGCCCAGGGCAGGCUCUGAGUAAUACAUGUUUCUGAAAUGGUGGGUUCAGUUAAUAGGCAAAGACAAAAAAAUUGACCUUUGAGGAGAUUAAUCCUGUACUGCAUGCUCAAGAGCAGAUGACAGUGAAUUCAGAAAUCCUGACUGCAGUUUACCCUUAAGUUAUUGGGACAACAUCAAGAGGGAGCAGUGUCCAGACACUGGACGUAGUUAUGACGGCUUAACGUUCAACAACAUGUACCUGGCAUGAUGUGAGGCACAUUACCUAAAUUAUCUAAUCUGCUUGAGAACUGUCAGGCACACACUGUUAUUAUCCCCAUUUUAUGAGGGAGGAAGUCAAAUAACUUAAUCACACAACUAUUAAACUACAGAGCAGGAUGAACACCCAGGGCAAGCUGACUUCAAAGCCUCAUUGGCGCUAUCAGGCCACGCCA
rnacentral:lncRNA from 1 species